rnacentral:rRNA from 1 species
UACGAAGGGGGCGAGCGUUGUUCGGAUUUACUGGGCGUAAAGGGCGCGCAGGCGGCUAUCCAAGUCAGGCGUGAAAGCCCCGGGCUUAACCUGGGAGGUGCGUCUGGGACUGGGUGGCUAGAGUUCGGGAGAGGAGAGUGGAAUUCCCAGUGUAGAGGUGAAAUUCGUAGAUAUUGGGAAGAACACCGGUGGCGAAGGCGGCUCUCUGGACCGAGACUGACGCUGAGGCGCGAAAGCGUGGGGAGCGAACAGG